rnacentral:pre_miRNA from 1 species
UAACAUCCACAGGCUGGCCGGCCCCAGGCUGGGCUGGGUAAGUAUCUCUUCGAAAGGCUCACCUUCAAGCCUUUGGAGC